AAACCAACAGGGAUUGCCUCAGUAACGGCGAGUGAAGCGGCAACAGCUCAAAUUUGAAACCUGGCAACAGUCCGGAUUGUAAUUUGCAGAGGAUGCUUCGGGGUCGGCCCUGGUCUAAGUGCCUUGGAACAGGUCGUCGCAGAGGGUGAGAGUCCCGUACGCGGCCGGGUGCCUUCUCCGUGUGAAGCUCCUUCGACGAGUCGAGUUGUUUGGGAAUGCAGCUCUAAAUGGGAGGUAUAUUUCUUCUAAAGCUAAAUACCGGCCAGAGACCGAUAGCGCACAAGUAGAGUGAUCGAAAGAUGAAAAGCACUUUGGAAAGAGAGUUAAAAAGUACGUGAAAUUGUUGAAAGGGAAGCGUUUGCGGCCAGACUUGACGGCGGUUGCUCAGCCGGGCUUUGCCCGGUGCACUCUUCCGCCGCCAGGCCAGCAUCAGUUCGGGUGGUCGGAUAAAGGCUUGGGGAACGUAGCUCCUCGGAGUGUUAUAGCCCCUCGCACAAUACGGCCUACCGGGACUGAGGACAGCGUUCGCUCGGAUGCUGGCGUAAUGGCAGCCAACGGC
rnacentral:rRNA from 1 species